rnacentral:lncRNA from 1 species
UUAAUAUUUAGUUUAGUUUGAAGUUAGUAUACGAGAAAUUCUUGGGUUCACCAUGCAAUAGUGUUUGAGUAUUUGAUAUCUUUUAAAAAAGAAAAUAAAAUUGAAUAUCCAAAUUAGAUUAUAUUUUUAAAAUAAAAUAAUAAAAAUAAAUAAAAAUAGUUACAAAAAAUAAAUUAAUUAAUAUUGUUAAGUCUUCAGCAAAAUACUAAACCUUAUACCCUAAAUCCUAAACCCUAAACCCUAAACCCUAAACGUUAAACCUUAAACUUUGGAUAAACUCUAAACCGUUGGAAAAUCUUAAACCCUAAAUCAUACAUUAAAAACUAAAUUUUAAUAACACUAAACCGUAAAUCCUAAUCACUAAACCCUAAAUCCUUGGGUAAACUCUGAACCCUUGGAUAAAUCAUAAACUCUAAGGGUUUAAUUUUAAAUAUUUUUGAUUUAGAGUUUAUGAUUUAUCCAAGGGUUUAGGGUUUAUCCAAGGGUUUAGAGUUUAGUGAUUAGGGUUUAGUGUUAUUAAGAUUUAGUUUUUAAUGUAUGAUUUAGGGUUUAAAAUUUUCCAAUGGUUUACGGUUUAUCCAAGAUUUAAGGUUUAUAAUUUAGGGUUUGGAGUUUAGGAUUUAUGGUAUAGGAUUUAGUAUUUUGCUAACGGUUUAACAAUAUUUAUUUAUUUAUUUUUUGUAACUAUUUUUAUGUAUUUUUAUUGUUUUAUUUUAAAAAUAUAAUCUUAUUUGGAAAUUCAAUUUUGUUCAUUUUUUAAAAGAUAUCAAAUAUUAAAUACUCAACCACUAUUGGUUGGUGAAUCUAGAUGAUCACUCUAGGGGUGAACCCAAGAAUUUCUCUUAAGGGUUGUUCGUUUGGUUGCCGCAGGUACCGGCGGCAGCGGCAGCGUCAACAUUCUGCGUCAACUCUUGUUCGUUUCGUUGACGCAGGAAACUGCGUCUGACGCCGUGUCCGAACGCCGCGUCCUGCGGCUGACGCCGAUAAAAUCUGCGGUCGCGAUAUAGUAUGCGGCAGCGGCAGCGUCAGCGUCUGCGAAACGAACAACAACUGUCCUCAUUGACGCUGCCGCCGCCGCUGACGCUGCCGCUGACGCCGAAACCUGCGGCAACCAAACGAACAGGACUUUAGUAUAUUAUACAAAAUUGUCUUCUCUAAAUCUCUAGUGGUUGAUUAAAGAACAUUUUCUUCUCCUAAAUACAUUGGACUCAUUAAAUUAUUAGACUACGAAAGAUACCUUCUUUUUUUGUUAAUAGAUCUUUAGAAAUAUUUGAUUUAUAAGAUAUCAUUGACCAAAAAGUAAAGUCUAGUAUAAAACUUAAAAGUGAUAGUAGACCAAAAAUACGAGGACGUGACUGAUCGGGUUCAGAAAGGUAAUAUUCUCCGCUCCCUCGAUUCGUCAACUUACAACCAGGGGUAUGUAUAUAUAUAUGUAAAUAAAACACAACAGGGGACUAUAUAAC